rnacentral:rRNA from 1 species
GGAUUAGAUACCCGGGUAGUCCACGCCCUAAACUAUGUCAACUGGUUGUCGGAGGAGCAAUCCUUUGGUAACGAAGCUAACGCGUGAAGUUGACCGCCUGGGGAGUACGGCCGCAAGGUUAAAACUCAAAGGAAUUGACGGGGACCCGCACAAGCGGUGGAUUAUGUGGAUUAAUUCGAUGCAACGCGAAAAACCUUACCUACCCUUGACAUGUACGGAAUCUCGCAGAGAUGUGAGAGUGCUCGAAAGAGAACCGUAACACAGGUGCUGCAUGGCUGUCGUCAGCUCGUGUCGUGAGAUGUUGGGUUAAGUCCCGCAACGAGCGCAACCCUUGCCAUUAGUUGCUACAUUGAGUUGGGCACUCUAGUGGGACUGCCGGUGACAAACCGGAGGA